AUUGAACGCUGGCGGCAGGCCUAACACAUGCAAGUCGAACGAGAGGCUGACGGGUGAGUAAUGUCUGGGAAAUUGCCUGAUGGAGGGGGAUAAAUACUGGAAACGGCAGCUAAUACCGCAUACUAUAAGAUGUGCCUAGAUGGGAUUAGCUUGGUGGUGGGGUAACGGCACACCAAGGCGACGAUCCCUAGCUGGUCUGAGAGGAUGACCAGCCACACGGGAACGUGGACACGGGCCAGACUCCUACGGGAGCCAGCAGUGGUGAAUAUUGCACAACGGGCGCAAGCCGUAUGCAGCCAUGCCGCGUAUAUGAAGAAGGCUUUCGGGUUUUAAAGUACUUUCAUCGGGGAGGCGUUGCCCGCAGAAGAAGCACCGGCUAACUCCGUGCCAGCAGCCGCGGUAAUUC
rnacentral:rRNA from 1 species